rnacentral:rRNA from 1 species
GAUGAACGCUGGCGGCGUGCCUAAUACAUGCCAGUCGAGCGAACAGACGAGGAGCUUGCUCCUCUGACGUUAGCGGCGGACGGGUGAGUAACACGUGGAUAACCUACCUAUAAGACUGGGAUAACUUCGGGAAACCGGAGCUAAUACCGGAUAAUAUAUUGAACCGCAUGGUUCAAUAGUGAAAGACGGUUUUGCUGUCACUUAUAGAUGGAUCCGCGCCGCAUUAGCUAGUUGGUAAGGUAACGGCUUACCAAGGCAACGAUGCGUAGCCGACCUGAGAGGGUGAUCGGCCACACUGGAACUGAGACACGGUCCAGACUCCUACGGGAGGCAGCAGUAGGGAAUCUUCCGCAAUGGGCGAAAGCCUGACGGAGCAACGCCGCGGGAGUGAUGAAGGUCUUCGGAUCGUAAAACUCUGUUAUUAGGGAAGAACAAAUGUGUAAGUAACUAUGCACGUCUUGACGGUACCUAAUCAGAAAGCCACGGCUAACUACGU